rnacentral:tRNA from 3 species
GGGGCCGUGGGGUAGCUUGGACUAGCCUCUCACCUUGGGGUGGUGGAAACUCGGGUUCAAAUCCCGACGGCCCCACCA